rnacentral:rRNA from 1 species
UACGUAGGCAGCAAGCGUUGUUCGGAGUUACUGGGCGUAAAGGGUGCGUAGGCGGCCUUAUAAGUAUGGUGUGAAAUCUCCCGGCUUAACUGGGAGGGUGCGCUAUAGACUGUGGGGCUAGAGUGUGGGAGAGGAAAGUGGAAUUCCUGGUGUAGCGGUGAAAUGCGUAGAUAUCAGGAGGAACACCGGUGGUGUAAACGGCUCUCUGGACCGUAACUGACGCUGAGGCACGAAAGCGUGGGUAGCAAACAGG